CAAUAUUUCUACAAAGCAAACGGGAGAAAUCUGUCUGAAAGGCCAAACUGAGGGAAUAAAACUCGCGUACUUUAACCGGACGUAGUUGUAUCCUUGCAGCAAAUACAUCACCGCGGUGGUGUUGUGGCGAUUAAAACACCAUAUUCUUGGAAAUAUCCUCCGGUUUUGACUGUCCACCGAGUCCUGAGGCCUGGACACCAUGACACCCCUCCUCUUGAAGCACCUUGCAACCUCUCUGUCUCGCCGAGUGGCCAGUGUGAGCUGGAUAAAUCUUCACCUCGCCUCACCAGCAGCAAGUGCUUACCGUCGUCUCUGCACGCUCACCACAGCUCCCGUGCACUUCUCCAAGUCGUCGCUCAGAAUCAGCUCUGUCCAGCCCUCCUGGUCGAGCUCCUCUGCUCAGUUGGACCAUCUCUGUUAGGAGUGCGUCCGCAGCUUCCAUGGGUCCAGCCCGCUGCAGGGAUGAAGACAAAGUCUGCCCUGAAGAGGCGCUGCAAAGAUUGUUUCUUUGUUCGACGUAGAGGACGUUUGUUUGUUUUCUGCAAGACAAAUCCAAGACACAAGCAGAGGCAGGGCUAAAAUAUUGAACUAUCAAUGAGAAGAGUGCUUUAAGAUUGUGACUGUUUAGAAAGGCUGAGCUGCAAUAAAAUGUUGUUUGGAUAAAAAAAAAAAAACAUGCCAACUCUUUUUACAAAUCCUCCCUUUCCUUUAUAACACCAAUGGCUAAAAAUAAAUGAUUUAUCAUAUUAAAGCAA